GUUGACACGCCGGUUCCCGUAAGAUCUCCGAAGUUAAGCAACGUCGAGUUUAGUCAGUACCUAGAUGGGUGACCUUUUGGGUGUACCAGGUGCAGUC